CCACAGCUACAACCGCUCAGAACAAGUCAUGUAAGUACAUUUCUGUCACUUGGGAUGGCGAGUCUAAGUCUAGAA
rfam:Enterococcus sp. 9E7_DIV0242 scaffold00005, whole genome shotgun sequence.